ACCUCGCUCAGGUAUUCGCUAAAAAAGAGCGAAUUCCUGAGCGACUUAACACUAAUGGUGUAUGUAUGAGCACCUACUCCGUAAAAGUAAUUGUAAUCUCAUGAAUAGCUCCGUAAAGCUAGCUAGCUACUACUAUGGCAAUUUCAACGUCUUUUGAUAUCCAAGAAGCAUUAGCAUAUGCACUGUCUUGUAUGAAGCAAGAAGGACUGAUCCUCAAGGAACAGCAGGUCCGUGCUCUCAAGCUCCUGUCAGAAGGAAGGGACGUUUUUGUGUGGUUCCCAACUGGGUAUGGCAAGUCUCUGUGCUAUCAAUUGCUACCCUUCUUGAUGGACUACAAGCUUGGUAGGACUAAGGGUCCUCUUGUCGCCAGAAGUGUAGUUCUUGUCAUCUCUCCCCUUGUGUCUCUCAUGAUUGACCAGGAGUCUGAACACUAGAGGUGUUUCUGCUGCCAUCCUCAGUAGUAAUAAGGGAAUCGACAGAAGUCUUGUUGCCACUAACAAAGAUGUGUCGGAUGGAAAGUACCGUCUGCUGUUCACUGCCCCAGAGGCUGUUGUUGAAGACUAUCGUUGGAGGAUGCUAUUACUAGAGCCUCCACUCAAUUCCUCUUUAGUGGCAAUAGCUGUGGACGAAGCACACUGUGUUUACAAGUGGAGCUCUGACUUUCGUCCUGCCUAUGCACACCUAGGUGAGCUUAGAGCAUUUGCCCCUCCUGGUGCUCCAAUGUUGGCUGCAAACUGGAUAGUUUCUGACCUACCCUCUAGCUCCACAGCGAUUGCAGAUGAUGUCGAGGCACUGGCAUUAUGUGGACCAUUAAUGAGUAAAAGCAAGCCUUUUUCCUCGAACCCCGAUGGUACUCCUCUUUGCUGAUGGACGCGAGCUCACAGUGAAAGGAGAUGCGUCGGAACCACUCGUGUCCUUAGUCCUUUUCUUAGGGGCUGAUCUUACUGGACUACUAGGGAACUGCUCUUUGGACACUUGUUUCUGGUAGCUACGUCUGGCCAGGAGCCUGAACACCUCUAUGGACUCUAUCUUCUUGAUACAAGAAAGACAGACAAUCUUUGACAGGCCAUCUGAAUCACUAACAGGCAGAUCCAAUGCAAGACUGAGCCUCCCUGGAAUAUCUUCUUUGAGAGCCUUACUGCUGAACAAAUGUUUAUAUCUUCUGUUUUGUAUGGCAUCAGUGCUGCAACAUAACCUACAAAGAACAAACUUAGAAGCCAUCAUUAAUUUUAUUCAA